rnacentral:rRNA from 1 species
GAUGAACGCUGGCGGCGUGCCUAAUACAUGCAAGUCGAGCGAACAGACGAGGAGCUUGCUCCUCUGACGUUAGCGGCGGACGGGUGAGUAACACGUGGAUAACCUACCUAUAAGACUGGGAUAACUUCGGGAAACCGGAGCUAAUACCGGAUAAUAUAUUGAACCGCAUGGUUCAAUAGUGAAAGACGGUUUUGCUGUCACUUAUAGAUGGAUCCGCGCCGCAUUAGCUAGUUGGUAAGGUAACGGCUUACCAAGGCAACGAUGCGUAGCCGACCUGAGAGGGUGAUCGGCCACACUGGAACUGAGACACGGUCCAGACUCCUACGGGAGGCAGCAGUAGGGAAUCUUCCGCAAUGGGCGAAAGCCUGACGGAGCAACGCCGCGUGAGUGAUGAAGGUCUUCGGAUCGUAAAACUCUGUUAUUAGGGAAGAACAAAUGUGUAAGUAACUAUGCACGUCUUGACGGUAGCUAAUCAGAAAGCCACGGCUAACUACGUG